CCAAUAGCGUAUAUUAAAGUUGUUGCAGUUAAAAAGCUCGUAGUUGAAUUUCGGGGUCAGUAGGUUGGUCAUGCCACUGGUAUGUACUGGUCUCACUGAUUCCUCCUUCCUGAUGAGCCGUAAUGCCAUUAAUUUGGUGUUGCGAGGAAUCUGGACUGUUACUUUGAAAAAAUUAGAGUGUUUAAAGCAGGCUAACGCUUGAAUACAUUAGCAUGGAAUAAUGAAAUAGGACGUUCGAUCUUAUUUUGUUGGUUUCUAGGAUUAACGUAAUGAUUAAUAGGGAUAGUUGGGGGAAUUAGUAUUCAAUUGUCAGAGGUGAAAUUCUUGGAUUUAUUGAAGACUAACUACUGCGAAAGCAUUUGCCAAGGAUGUUUUCAUUAAUCAAGAACGAAAGUUAGGGGAUCGAAGACGAUCAGAUACCGUCGUAGUCUUAACCAUAAACUAUGCCGACUAGGGAUCGGAUGAUGUUAAUUUUUUAAUGACUCAUUCGGCGCCUUACG
rnacentral:rRNA from 1 species